GGUGAGUAACACGUGGGUAACCUGCCUGUAAGACUGGGAUAACUCCGGGAAACCGGGGCUAAUACCGGAUGGUUGUCUGAACCGCAUGGUUCAGACAUAAAAGGUGGCUUCGGCUACCACUUACAGAUGGACCCGCGGCGCAUUAGCUAGUUGGUGAGGUAACGGCUCACCAAGGCGACGAUGCGUAGCCGACCUGAGAGGGUGAUCGGCCACACUGGGACUGAGACACGGCCCAGACUCCUACGGGAGGCAGCAGUAGGGAAUCUUCCGCAAUGGACGAAAGUCUGACGGAGCAACGCCGCGUGAGUGAUGAAGGUUUUCGGAUCGUAAAGCUCUGUUGUUAGGGAAGAACAAGUGCCGUUCAAAUAGGGCGGCACCUUGACGGUACCUAACCAGAAAGCCACGGCUAACUACGUGCCAGCAGCCGCGGUAAUACGUAGGUGGCAAGCGUUGUCCGGAAUUAUUGGGCGUAAAGGGCUCGCAGGCGGUUUCUUAAGUCUGAUGUGAAAGCCCCCGGCUCAACCGGGGAGGGUCAUUGGAAACUGGGGAACUUGAGUGCAGAAGAGGAGAGUGGAAUUCCACGUGUAGCGGUGAAAUGCGUAGAGAUGUGGAGGAACACCAGUGGCGAAGGCGACUCUCUGGUCUGUAACUGACGCUGAGGAGCGAAAGCGUGGGGAGCGAACAGGAUUAGAUACCCUGGUAGUCCACGCCGUAAACGAUGAGUGCUAAGUGUUAGGGGGUUUCCGCCCCUUAGUGCUGCAGCUAACGCAUUAAGCACUCCGCCUGGGGAGUACGGUCGCAAGACUGAAACUCAAAGGAAUUGACGGGGGCCCGCACAAGCGGUGGAGCAUGUGGUUUAAUUCGAAGCAACGCGAAGAACCUUACCAGGUCUUGACAUCCUCUGACAAUCCUAGAGAUAGGACGUCCCCUUCGGGGGCAGAGUGACAGGUGGUGCAUGGUUGUCGUCAGCUCGUGUCGUGAGAUGUUGGGUUAAGUCCCGCAACGAGCGCAACCCUUGAUCUUAGUUGCCAGCAUUCAGUUGGGCACUCUAAGGUGACUGCCGGUGACAAACCGGAGGAAGGUGGGGAUGACGUCAAAUCAUCAUGCCCCUUAUGACCUGGGCUACACACGUGCUACAAUGGACAGAACAAAGGGCAGCGAAACCGCGAGGUUAAGCCAAUCCCACAAAUCUGUUCUCAGUUCGGAUCGCAGUCUGCAACUCGA
rnacentral:rRNA from 1 species